GGAGAGGUGGCUGAGCGGACUAAAGCGCUGGUUUUGAAAACCAGUGAGGAGCAAUCCUCCGUGGGUUCGAAUCCCUCCCUCUCCGCCA
rnacentral:tRNA from 1 species